rnacentral:rRNA from 1 species
GUAGUCCUGGCUGUAAACGAUGUCGAUUUGGAGGUUGUGCCCUUGAGGCGUGGCUUCCGGAGCUAACGCGUUAAAUCGACCGCCUGGGGAGUACGGCCGCAAGGUUAAAACUCAAAUGAAUUGACGGGGGCCCGCACAAGCGGUGGAGCAUGUGGUUUAAUUCGAUGCAACGCGAAGAACCUUACCUACUCUUGACAUCCAGAGAAUUCGCUAGAGAUAGCUUAGUGCCUUCGGGAACUCUGAGACAGGUGCUGCAUGGCUGUCGUCAGCUCGUGUUGUGAAAUGUUGGGUUAAGUCCCGCAACGAGCGCAACCCUUAUCCUUUGUUGCCAGCGAUUCGGUCGGGAACUCAAAGGAGACUGCCGGUGAUAAACCGGAGGAAGGUGGGGAUGACGUCAAGUCAUCAUGGCCCUUACGAGUAGGGCUACACACGUGCUACAAUGGCGUAUACAAAGAGAAGCGAACUCGCGAGAGCAAGCGGACCUCAUAAAGUACGUCGUAGUCCGGAUUGGAGUCUGCAACUCGACUCCAUGAAGUCGGAAUCGCUAGUAAUCGUAGAUCAGAAUGCUACGGUGAAUACGUUCCCGGGCCUUGUACACACCGCCCGUCACACCAUGGGAGUGGGUUGCAAAAGAAGUAGGUAGCUUAACCUUCGGGAGGGCGCUUACCACUUUGUGAUUCAUGACUGGGGUGAAGUCGUAACAAGGUAACCGUAGGGGAACCUGCGGCUGGAUCACCUCC